GAGGCGCAGGGCGGCGGGAAGAUGGCGGCCGGCGCUGGGGCGUUGUGGUGUCAUGGCGCUCCUCCUGCUGGGCCCGGUCGGCACCCUGCCGCCGCGCUGCUCCUCGCGGGCCUGUCCUCAUGUUUUCAAGUCUCCCUGUUCAGCAUCUUGCCCUGGGAUCUUCCUUCAUCUCCCAUUUGGAAUAGAAUGUGCUGUUCACUGCAUUAAUGGGAGUGUUGUGUGAAAGGGACUUUGUUGAUGAUGGUGCUGCUGAAAGAAAAAUACUUCACAGAACCUUGUCAGGAAUCACAGCUCUUUAGAAGACUCAUCCCCACGCUGUUGCCUGCACAUCAAGCCUGCCUGUUUCCACUCUGCCCUCAGGACUUCUGCCUAGGGGAUUCUAUCAGCCUCCCUUGGGGACUCAGAUCUUAAUCACACCGUGUGAUCACAAAUGACUUCAGUGUUUGUUUGGGCAGAAUCGGUUUUUUACUGGGCACAGUGAAUUAAUUCUCCAAGCCUUGCCUUGGACAGCAAUGCCUUCAUGAAAAUUGAUUUAAAUAUUAUUAAAGCAUAUUAACUAACAUUAAUAAAUAAAGUAUUUGAAA
rnacentral:lncRNA from 7 species